UUUUCUGAGAAUUUGAUCUUGGUUCAGAUUGAACGCUGGCGGCGUGGAUGAGGCAUGCAAGUCGAACGGAAUAAUGGCUUCGGCUAUUAUUUAGUGGCGGAAGGGUUAGUAAUACAUAGAUAAUUUGUUCUUAACUUGGGAAUAACGGUUGGAAACGGCCGCUAAUACCGAAUGUGGUGUGUUUAGGCAUCUAAAUUACAUUAAAGAAGGGGAUCUUCGGACCUUUCGGUUAAGAGAAAGUCUGUGGGAUAUCAGCUUGUUGGUGGGGUAAUGGCCUACCAAGGCUAUGACGUCUAGGCGGAUUGAGAGAUUGACCGCCAACACUGGGACUGAGACACUGCCCAGACUCCUACGGGAGGCUGCAGUCGAGAAUCUUUCGCAAUGGACGAAAGUCUGACGAAGCGACGCCGCGUGUGUGAUGAAGGCUCUAGGGUUGUAAAGCACUUUCGCCUGGGAAUAAGAGAGAUUGGCUAAUAUCCAAUUGAUUUGAGCGUACCAGGUAAAGAAGCACCGGCUAACUCCGUGCCAGCAGCUGCGGUAAUACGGAGGGUGCUAGCGUUAAUCGGAUUUAUUGGGCGUAAAGGGCGUGUAGGCGGAAAGGAAAGUUAGAUGUCAAAUCUUGAGGCUCAACCUCAAGUCGGCAUCUAAUACUAUCUUUCUAGAGGUUGGAUGGAGAAAAGGGAAUUCCACGUGUAGCGGUGAAAUGCGUAGAUAUGUGGAAGAACACCAGUGGCGAAGGCGCUUUUCUAAUUUUUCCUGACGCUAAGGCGCGAAAGCAAGGGGAGCAAACAGGAUUAGAUACCCUGGUAGUCCUUGCUGUAAACGAUGCAUACUUGAUGUGGAUGGUCUCAACCCCAUCCGUGUCGGAGCUAACGCGUUAAGUAUGCCGCCUGAGGAGUACACUCGCAAGGGUGAAACUCAAAAGAAUUGACGGGGGCCCGCACAAGCAGUGGAGCAUGUGGUUUAAUUCGAUGCAACGCGAAGAACCUUACCUGGGCUUGACAUGUAUUUGACCGCGGCAGAAAUGUCGUUUUCCGUAAGGACAGAUACACAGGUGCUGCAUGGCUGUCGUCAGCUCGUGCCGUGAGGUGUUGGGUUAAGUCCCGCAACGAGCGCAACCCUUAUCGUUAGUUGCCAGCACUUUGGGUGGGAACUCUAACGAGACUGCCUGGGUUAACCAGGAGGAAGGCGAGGAUGACGUCAAGUCAGCAUGGCCCUUAUGUCCAGGGCGACACACGUGCUACAAUGGGUAGUACAGAAGGUAGCAAGAUCGUGAGAUGGAGCAAAUCCUUAAAGCUAUCCUCAGUUCGGAUUGUAGUCUGCAACUCGGCUACAUGAAGUCGGAAUUGCUAGUAAUGGCGUGUCAGCCAUAACGCCGUGAAUACGUUCCCGGGCCUUGUACACACCGCCCGUCACAUCAUGGGAGUUGGUUUCACCUUAAGUCGUUGACUCAACCUAUUUUUAGGAGGGAGGCGCCCAAGGUGAGGCUGAUGACUGGGAUGAAGUCGUAACAAGGUAGCCCUACCGGAAGGUGGGGCUGGAUCACCUCCUUUUAAG
rnacentral:rRNA from 1 species